rnacentral:rRNA from 1 species
UGCAAGUCGAACGAUGAAGCCCAGCUUGCUGGGUGGAUUAGUGGCGAACGGGUGAGUAACACGUGAGUAACCUGCCCUUGACUCUAGGAUAAGCCCGGGAAACUGGGUCUAAUACUGGAUAGGAACGUCUACCGCAUGGUGGAUGUUGGAAAGAAUUUCGGUCAUGGAUGGACUCGCGGCCUAUCAGCUUGUUGGUGAGGUAAUGGCUCACCAAGGCGACGACGGGUAGCCGGCCUGAGAGGGUGACCGGCCACACUGGGACUGAGACACGGCCCAGACUCCUACGGGAGGCAGCAGUGGGGAAUAUUGCACAAUGGGCGAAAGCCUGAUGCAGCGACGCCGCGUGAGGGAUGACGGCCUUCGGGUUGUAAACCUCUUUCAGUAGGGAAGAAGCGAAAGUGACGGUACCUGCAGAAGAAGCACCGGCUAACUACGUGCCAGCAGCCGCGGUAAUACGUAGGGUGCGAGCGUUAUCCGGAAUUAUUGGGCGUAAAGAGCUCGUAGGCGGUUUGUCGCGUCUGUCGUGAAAGUCCGGGGCUUAACCCCGGAUCUGCGGUGGGUACGGGCAGACUAGAGUGCAGUAGGGGAGACUGGAAUUCCUGGUGUAGCGGUGGAAUGCGCAGAUAUCAGGAGGAACACCGAUGGCGAAGGCAGGUCUCUGGGCUGUAACUGACGCUGAGGAGCGAAAGCAUGGGGAGCGAACAGGAUUAGAUACCCUGGUAGUCCAUGCCGUAAACGUUGGGCACUAGGUGUGGGGAACAUUCCACGUUUUCCGCGCCGCAGCUAACGCAUUAAGUGCC